UAAAGAAAUAGUUUGAUUGCCUUGUCAGCAAGAGAGGUGCCUGCAGCCUAGGCGGCAACCAUGCUAUCUUGCACAGACACAAAAAGCCUUUUGGAAGGUUGUGUCUUUGUUGAAGAUGAUGUUUAGCAUUUUAGCAUUCAAGACUCUUCAGACACGGAUUGCGAGAACGCCUGGCCUGAGAAAUUGACACCCGAGUGAAUGGAGGCGAAUGCACCUGCUUAAGUUGAGGAAGGCAGAUCACCAAAGGUGGCAGGAGUCCAGUGGUGAGGAUGGGAGGUCGGGAGAAGCUAAGAAGAAGGAGAGAAGAGACUCUACAGUGGGAGAACCACUUUGGGAAGAGCAGGAUCAGCCCCUUUAUCAUUUCGGUUUCCCUCUUCUGCUGCACCUUCUUCAGUUCGACAGUAUCGCUUUUUUGGUAAUCUGGCGACCGGAAGGAUACACUUUACUUCUGAGGAACAGCUACAACUGGAAACAAGGUCAGCUUCAUGUUGUUGUUGUUGUUGUUGUUGUUGUUGUUGUUGUUAUAGCCCAGUAAGCUUCCAGACCACCUUGGGUUUAUUCUCUCUUUUUGACAGUUAAAGCACCACAUUUUCAUUGAUGCCAGGAGAUGUUGAACAGUAGGGCACACAUCCUGGGGUGCCUCUGUUAUGGCACAAGAGAUAUUCCCAGACUGAUUGGGCAAGGUUCGGACCACAAUGUGUGUCUGGACAUUUAAAUUUGCAUUCUGAUUGGGCAAGACCUCUAGGGUUUUUAAAUUCUGUCUUGAUCGAAUUGGGCAAGAUCUCUAGGAUUUUUAAAUUGUAUAUGGAAUUGGGCAAGAUCAAGGCCUGUGUGGGCCUCGAUUUUUAAAUUGCAUCCCCCAGCUUGACCUUUACAAUUGCAAUUCUGAUUGGGCAAGACCUCUAGGGUUUUUAAAUUCUGUAUGGAAUUGGGCAAGAUCGGGGCCUGUGUGGGCCUCGAUUUUUAAAUUGCAUCCCCCAGCUUGACCUUUACAAUUGUAUUCUGAUUGGGCAAGACCUCUAGGGUUUUUAAAUUUUGUAUGGAAUUGGGCAAGAUCAGGGCCUGUGUGGGCCUCGAUUUUUAAAUUGCAUCCCCCAGCUUGA